UAGGGAAUAUUCCACAAUGAGCGAAAGCUUGAUGGAGCGACACAGCGUGCACGAUGAAGGCCCUCGGGUUGUAAAGUGCUGUUGCAAGGGAAGAACAGUUAGUUGAGGAAAUGCUUCUAAUCUGACGGUACCUUGUUAGAAAGCGAUGGCUAACUAUGUGCCAGCAGCCGCGGUAAUACAUAGGUCGCAAGCGUUAUCCGGAAUUAUUGGGCGUAAAGCGUUCGUAGGCUGUUUAUUAAGUCUGGAGUCAAAUCCCAGGGCUCAACCCUGGCUCGCUUUGGAUACUGGUAAACUAGAGUUAGAUAGAGGUAAGCGGAAUUCCAUGUGGAGCGGUGAAAUGCGUAGAUAUAUGGAAGAACACCAAAGGCGAAGGCAGCUUACUGGGUCUAUACUGACGCUGAGGGACGAAAGCGUGGGGAGCAAACAGGAUUAGAUACCCUGGUAGUCCACGCUGUAAACGAUGAUCAUUAGUCGGUGGAAAACUACUGACGCAGCUAACGCAUUANUGAUCCGCCUGAGUAGUAUGCUCGCAAGAGUG
rnacentral:rRNA from 1 species